CAGCCGCCACGGGAAUACGUAGGUGGCAAGCGUUGUCCGGAAUUAUUGGGCGUAAAGCGAGCGCAGGCGGUUUUGUAAGACAGGCGUGAAAUCCCCGGGCUCAACCUGGGAAUGGCGCUUGUGACUGCAAAGCUAGAGUGCGGCAGAGGGGGAUGGAAUUCCGCGUGUAGCAGUGAAAUGCGUAGAUAUGCGGAGGAACACCGAUGGCGAAGGCAAUCCCCUGGGCCUGCACUGACGCUCAUGCACGAAAGCGUGGGGAGCAAACAGGAUUAGAUACCCGCGUAGUCCCUGUCUCUUAUAC
rnacentral:rRNA from 1 species